rnacentral:tRNA from 1 species
GGCCGGAUGGUCUAGGGGUAUGAUUCUCGUUUUAGGUGCCAGAGGUCCCGGGUUCAAAUCCCGGUCCGGCCC